rnacentral:tRNA from 1 species
GCCUUCGUAGUGUAGUGGUCAGCAUGCUCGACGCGUAACCGAGAGGUCCGUGGUUCGAUUCCUGGCGAAGGCU